rnacentral:rRNA from 1 species
AACGAACGCUGGCGGCAUGCCUAACACAUGCAAGUCGAACGAGACCUUCGGGUCUAGUGGCGCACGGGUGCGUAACGCGUGGGAACCUGCCUUUAGGUCCGGAAUAACUCAGAGAAAUUUGAGCUAAUACCGGAUGAUGUCUUCGGACCAAAGAUUUAUCGCCUUUAGAUGGGCCCGCGUUGGAUUAGCUAGUUGGUGGGGUAAAGGCCUACCAAGGCGACGAUCCAUAGCUGGUCUGAGAGGAUGAUCGGCCACACUGGGACUGAGACACGGCCCAGACUCCUACGGGAGGCAGCAGUGGGGAAUAUUGGACAAUGGGCGAAAGCCUGAUCCAGCAAUGCCGCGUGAGUGAUGAAGGCCUUAGGGUUGUAAAGCUCUUUUACCCGAGAUGAUAAUGACAGUAUCGGGAGAAUAAGCUCCGGCUAACUCCGUG